CCCUUAAAUGUUCUGGGCCGCACGCGUGCUACACUGAGUGGAUCAGCGGGUCAGGUUGCGCGAAAGCGUUUCCUAAUCUUUAAAUCCGCUCGUGAUGGGGAUUGACGGUUGCAAUUUUCUGUCAUGAACGAGGAAUACCUUGUAAGCGCGGGUCAUCAUCCCGCGCUGAAUACGUCCCUGCCCUUUGUACACACCGCCCGUCGCUCCUACCGAUUGAGUGGUCCGGUGAGGCUUUGGGAUCUGAGCGGAAAGAGCGUUUCGCUGUUUCUGCUCGGAAAACUCAGUCGAACCUUAUCAUUUAGAGGAAGGAGAAGUCGUAACA
rnacentral:rRNA from 1 species